UACAGGUUAAAGCUGGAGCCCUAGCAGAGAGAGCCUUUAUGAUCUGUCUGUUGUCAAGAAACCUUUCUUACAAGAUCUCAGUGUAACUGAGUAAUGGCUAUUAGUAGUAUUAUGUUGUGGUGCAGAACACUGGCUCUCUUCCUUGUAGGCAGCCUUAUCACAGAGAACAGACUCCAUACCUAGAAUCCAAUGACCACACUGAGAGAACCACCUGUCCCAUGCUCAGUGCCCAAUGUUUUCUUUCUCCUUUGU